rnacentral:misc_RNA from 1 species
AUUGGAAAGACUCUUUAAAGGCACUUCAAACAUGUGAUGAUAUUCUUACCUAUGCUGAGGAACUUCAUAUUACAAAGAGGUGUAUCGAGUCACUAGCCACAAAAGCGUGUACUGACCCUAAUCUUUUUGGAUGGCCUAUAGUGGAGCAUGGGCCCAUGCAGAGUCCUGGGGGGAGUGUCUUGUGGAAUGGGAUAAGCACAGGGGCUAGACCCAAAAAAUCAAGUUCAGAUUGGUGGUAUGAGGAUGUGUUGACUUUAAGUUUACCUCUCUAUAAGAGGUUGAUUUCCGUUAUGGAAUCUCGUGGUAUCAGACAAGAGAUUAUUGCUGGGUCCCUUGCUUUCUAUGCUAAAAAGUACCUGCCUGGCCUCAAUAGGCGUCAAGGUGCCAGUGAGUCUGGUUCCCGUUUAAUUCCUGUGGCUUUAGCUCCGCCAUCAGAAGAAGACCAGAAGAAAUUGCUAGAAGAUAUUGAUAGGUUGCUUCCAAUGCA